UACGUAGGGGGCAAGCGUUGUCCGGAUUUACUGGGCGUAAAGGGCGCGUAGGCGGCGUGACAAGUCACUUGUGAAAUCUCCGGGCUUAACUCGGAACGGUCAAGUGAUACUGUCGUGCUAGAGUCCGGAAGAGGCGAGUGGAAUUCCCGGUGUAGCGGUGAAAUGCGCAGAUAUCGGGAGGAACACCAAUGGCGAAGGCAGCUCGCUGGGACGGUACUGGACGCUGAGACGCGAAAGCGUGGGGAGCAAAGCAGG
rnacentral:rRNA from 1 species